ACAUUCAUUCUUAGCCGAAAGCCCAUUACGAAGAUCGCCAUAGUAUUUCCUUUCUUUAAACAAUAAAAAUCGAAAGACAUUCCGCCAAUCGCACCAAUUCCACCACUGGGCUUCGCGCUCCGCUCACCAUCACCACAAAAUCUCGCCUCUAAACCCUUAAUUUCCAUGAUUUUUCUCCCAAAUUCGAAAACCCCAUCUCAAAUUUCUCCGUCUUCUGAAUCCUUCUCCCCUCACAAGUUCUUAAAACCCACCAUUUCAGCGUUGUUAUCGAUUUCCUGUGUUGUUCUUGCAUGAUGUCUAGAUAUGGCGCUGGAUUCUCCCUCGUUUUUCUGCUUUUUCUCGCCGAUUUGGCAACUGGAAACGAACUAAGGUUCACUCAAUCAAAUGGGUCUGUGGCAGCGAUGGUGCCACUGAUCGAGGAGGGGGAAAUGACGAUGAUGGAGAUGAAUGAAACUAGAAGAAAACUGGGUAGCUUCCAAGUAUGUGCUCCUUGUACUUGCUGUGGUGGGGCUAAGGGCCUGUGCUUGCCAUCUCCUUGUUGUUAUGCUAUCAAUUGCAACAUCCCCAACAGACCAUUUGGGUUUUGCUCUUUCACUCCUAAAUCCUGUAAUUGCUUUGGAUGCAAUCUCUAGCUUAUACAUUCAUAUAUCUCUCUGAAAUUUCCUUGCAUAUAUAUAUAUGAUGAUGAUGAUGAUCUUGGUCAUUUGUUAUCUCUGUUGCUCUGUUCUGGAAAUGAUUGAUUUGAAGAACUCUAGAGUUAUGAAACUAGCCGUUCCUAGAGGCCUUGAUGUUGUAUAGAUUCUCUGUAAGUGGCCUGUGUUUGUUCUUGUUCUAAAACUUGUUAGCUUAUUCAAGUUGUUUGAUGAUUGCUUU